rnacentral:lncRNA from 1 species
AACUUGAAUCGCACCGAGGAGCGAAGACAGACGAAGAACGAAGAACGUAACCUAAUCUGUCUCGCCCGAAUUGAACGAAGCAGAAGAAGAACGAAGCAAUUAACCAUUGAUCUCUGCGAAAAAGGUUUGAAUCUCCUUCUUUCACUCUCUGUUUUGUUUAUUCUUCGCUGUUUUCUCAUUUCUGGAUUCUGGCAUCAAUUUCAGUUUCAAGUUCAUACUUCUGUGUUUCUUCACUCGUUGUGAUUCAAGUUCAUACUUCUGGGUUCUUCAAUCGAUUUCGCAGAAGAAGAAACCUCAGCCCUCAAGUAUGUUUCUCCAACCCGAUUGCUGCUACAGUGUCUGUAUUUUCUUCAUCAAUUCAAUUCGUCUGUGUUUGAUGAACUCUCUGUCGAUUCAUUGUUCGUUCAUUUGUUUGAUGUUGCUUCUGGGUUCUUCAUUUGUUUGUAAAUUGAUGCAGAAAUGUUAGAAUGCUCUCGGAUGCAUUAUGUUAAUGCAUUAUGUUAGAAUUGUUAGCAUUACUGCUCAAACGCUAAGAUCUGGGCUGGACAAAGAACUUCAAACCUAUUCUUGUAGAUUGCAGUGCACAUACACGUACAAAAUUUUGAGUGAAAACAUAUGAUUUCCCUUCAUAAUGCCUGUUAAGUAAUUUAAAGAGUAGUUUGUAUGCUUAAAAACAUUCUAUGUUGCUGCACUGAUGAAGUUGAAAGGGGCUUGAGUAAUUUCAUUCAAGAAUUUGCGAUUUAAAUUAAUUAACAUAUAAUGAAUUCAAAUUUAGUUGAGAUCUUUGAAACCCAAUUAGAAAUGACAUAACAACAGCUUGCCUGAUCAUCAGCAUCAAUUACAAGCUCUACUUGUGAACGGUAACAAAUGAAAGGUUUUAUCAGUUUUAUACCUGACAUAAAGUACCAAACUACAAAUCAGUGCCACAAAAGAUCUGAUUAACAAACUCAAGAAAGAAUAAUAAAUGUAAACAAGACCUGAGAAAGAAAAAAUAGAUUGUACUUCUAAAAAAAGACAGUUAUAUCGAUCCAACAAAAAAUUGUCCCCCAAUCAACAUCUGAAGUUAGAUCUUCCAUGGCAUGAAAGAAACUGUAAUAUUUGUCAACAAAGACACUUCCAAGACAAUUCAUAAAGCAUGUGUUCCCUAGGUUCUGCAACCCAAUCAAGCCACCAGAAGACCCCCUUGUAGUAACAGUACUGGUCCCAUAUGCAUUAUCCAGCUCCCUACCCUGAUAUGUCAGAUUUGGACCCUGGGAUGUCAGAUUUGGACUUUGAGAUAGCUCUGCACUGCAGCCUCUAGAAGCACCCUUGCUUGCAGAUAAACCUCCUGCAAUUGAUAUGCUUGACUUAGAAGGCUGUAAAUGAAAAGAACUUGCGUCCUUCACAGUUGGUCCAUUGUCCUGAGUAGAUCUUAUAAAACAACUCAAUGCAGUACCAUUGGCAAUGUCAUGAACCUCCACCAGAAUCUGUAUAUUUGGUUUGUAUAUUUUGAUGUUUUGUUUUAAAUAUUUUGAAAUUUAUGUUGUUGGAAUUUAUGUGGUUGGAUGUUUUGUUUUAAAUAUUUUAUAAUUUAUAUUUGGUUUGUAUUUUGGAUAUUGAAUUAAAUUUAUGUUGUUGGUUUAUAAUUUAAAUUUGAUUUAAGUGUUGUUUUGUAAUUAGUUAUGUGUUUUUUUUUAUAUAGGUUUUUUUGGGUCAACCCACCUGACCCGUGACCCAGAAGGUCGACCGGGUCAAUGACCGGGUCGGGUUUCAAAACUAUGGUUCAUUCUUUUACAUAUUGUAAUUGUAAUUUUUUCUUGAUUAUUAUUUUUUUG